ACGAGUUAGGGUCUUCCAGGCCCGACCUCCCAACCCUGUGUUUAUUGAACCUCUGUUGCUUCGGCGGACCCGUCUCACGACCGCCGGAGGACCGCUGAAAGGCGUCCUCUGGCCCGCGUCCGCCGGUGGCCAACCCACUAAACUCUGAAUGAAUCGUGUCAUAUGUCUAAGUCUAUGAUUAAAUUAAAGCA
rnacentral:misc_RNA from 1 species